CUCCUCGUAUAUAUCAUCAGCGUCCCUAGGCUUGAACCUGAAGGAGGGAUUAGUAUGCUGCCUCUGAUAAUAAUGACUAGAUGAAGACGCAGACGAAGGCGGCGGGUAGAGGCCGGAUUUCAAAGCCUCUUCACCAUAUAAAUCGUAGAUCUGCCGCUUCUGAGGGUCGCUGAGUACAUCAUAAGCUUCAGAAAUCUGCUUGAAUUUAGCCUCGGCUUCAAUCCUCUUAGCAGACGGGUUCUUGUCCGGGUGCCAUAUCAUGGCGAGGCGCUUGUAGGCCUUCUUGAGAUCAUCGUCGCUGGCGUUCCUAUUAACUUUGAGCAUAUUAUAGUAAUCGACGCCCAUUUCCUCUACGGUGGCCGGAGACUAGGGAGCGUUGGAUGGGUAACCGGAAAAAGGAAAAUACAGCAGCGGAUCAGAGCGCGUAGAGAGUAUAUAGUAGCGGUGGAGGGAAAGGGAAUGAGAGGAAAGACGUGUUAGAUGUGAUAGAUCUG
rnacentral:misc_RNA from 1 species